rnacentral:snoRNA from 1 species
UCCGCGUAGCUGCGCUGCCGGGUACGCCAGCAGCGGAGCGGCGUUCUUAUGUAUAUCUUAUAUAUCUAGGCUUAUCGGGAGAGCGAGAUAUGUAUGUACGUAUGUAAUAUGUAUUUGGUCGGCGUGUGAAUGCUGACCAUGCACUUAUACUUUUUGCCUUCGAGUGGGUGAUCAUGUUACAUCCGCCCUGGCCUAACUGCGUGCAUAAACAUAAACAUAAACAUAGCAACAAAGUGCUGCCAUAAGUUAAUAUGCUAUUUUAUUUAAUUGUUCUUAAUAUUGCAUAGGCACAUACUACACUAUCGCUAGUUUCUUAGGUCUUAGCUUUUCCUUAGGUUUUUCAGAUAGAAAGGCAGGGAAUACAGACAGCAAAGGUGAGUUAACAUAUUACUACGUUCCUUCAAGAGUGGCUUUCGUUUGCGUUAUCUGAUGAGCAAUAACUUUCGCCCCUAGCUGAAAAAUGAUACUUCUCAUGUUGAAUGCGAGAUUGGUCUUACUGAAAAUAACGGAAAAUAGAAAAGCUCAUUUGAGUUUCUAAAAACGUUGACCUGGCCUCUUAUUAACUUAAUUUAUAUUUCUAUUGUAGCUUGGAAUACUGCUCAGAGGACAAAGCGGGAGUGACGGAAGAUACGGUUAGUAUCUAUUUGAUGACCAUCUUUACGUUAUAUUAGUUCUGAUGAGCAUUAACUUUCGCCCCUAUCUGAAAUUGAAACUUCUCUUGUUGAAUGCGAGAUUGGUCUUACUGAAAAACUAAAAAACUAUAAGCACAUGUGGGCUAUCUAUAUCCAAUAUAUUUUAAAACCCAAUAUAUAUUUACAGAUCGGCGGAACGAAAACUAAAAACGUGCUUCGAAUAAACAUAGGAAUUAAGGUAAGAAUGCCUUAAUUUAUAGUUGAAUUUCUUAUUAUCAUGAUGAGCAUUAACUUUCGCCCCUAUCUGAAAUUGAAACUUCUCAUGUUGAAUGCGAGAUUGGUCUUACUGAAAAGAAUUUCGAUUUAAAAACACGAAAACAAUUUUCUAAGCACUUUCUAACCAAAUUUUGCCCAUUCUCUUUACAGAUUUGUUGAUUAGGUUAUGCAAUAUAUGGACUAUAACUUUAAUAAAAUAGGUAAAUAUUGAAUAACUAAAAGUUAUUAAAAUGUUUUUAAGUGAUGAGCUUUAACUUUCGCCCCUAUCUGAAAUUGAAACUUCUCCUGUUGAAUGCGAGAUUGGUCUUACUGAAAUGACUCACAAUUAAAAACAAGCCUCAAUCUUUUCGAUUGCCUUUCUAAUAAAAUGCUACUUUUUCUUUACAGAUAAGUUCAAAAAUUUUUUUGAAAAUCAUUGAAUGCCACAGGAAUCUUAAAAGGUAAAUGUAUUCAAAAUGAAUUAUUUCUUUGCGAGAAUAACUAACUUCUUUGAAAAUUAACUGAUGUAAAAAAAAAACUGAAUUAUGUGGCAUGAUUUUCACAUUAACCGCAACAAAUCCUACUCCAAUAGGUCCUACUGACAAUUCUCACAAAAAUAAUGCAUUUAGGCCAAUACAAUAACAACGAUGCCUAACAAUUGACUCUCCUUUGCCUUUUCAGUUCGCAUGACACUUUAUUGCGUUGAGUAAACAAGGUAAAAAUAAAUUUAAAAAAACUCGUUUGCCCAGUUUCUAGUGAAAAUGUUGAAAUAAAAAUACUGAUUUAUGUGGCAUGAUUUUCACAUUAACCGCAACAAAUCCUACUCCAAUAGGUCCUACUGAAUAUAUUCACAAGAAACUUAAGGUGUGUUUUAACCAGAUGUGGUUCUAAGUGAAUUUUUUCUUAUAUUUGCAGAUGUGCUUUUGGCGACUUUCCACUGACUGUUCCAAUUGAGUUCCAUUUUAUGCCCUUUUUUAGGUACAACACUGCCCAAGACAUCAUAUAAUACUUUAUAAGCAAAUAAAAGAAACAUACACAAAAAGCACAACUUCUUUUUAAUUAGACAAGGCCAUGUGUGCUCUUAACCUAAAACA